UUCACAUAUUCCUUUCCAACACAAACCUAAAGACAUGGCUUCAUCAUCUCCUCUUUCUCCCAUUCUCCUCUCUCUGUUUCUAGUAUUCAUUUGUGGGGUGUCAGCUCAAACGGCUCCCGCCCCUGCCCCCUCUGGCCCCUUGAAUUUCACUGGAAUCCUUGACAAAAAUGGCCAAUACACCUACUUCCUUCAGCUUUUGGCACAGACUCAAGUUGGGAGCCAAGUACAAACUCAACUCAAAACCACCACUGAAGGCUUUACCGUCUUUGCUCCCACAGAUAAUGCCUUCAACAACCUCAAACCUGGUACCGUCAAUAACCUGGACCCACAACAGAAAGUACAACUAGUUCUAUACCACGUUAUUCCCAAAUACUACUCCUUGAACGAUCUCCAAUUUGUUAGCAACCCCGUUAGAACCCAAGCUGGUGAGGAUUUCGGCCUCAACGUAACUGGCCUGAACAACCAGGUUAACGUCUCAAGCGGGGUUGUCGAGACUCAGAUUAACAACGCAUUAUAUCAAAAGAAACCUCUGGCAAUUUAUCAAGCGGACAAGGUGUUGUUGCCUGAGGAGUUUUUUGAAGCUAAAUCCCCAGCGGCUGCACCUUCACCGGCGACAAAGAAAUCAUCAACAGGGUCUAAAUCGAACUCAAGAGCAUCAGCAACCGCAGAUGAGCCAGCUUCUGCUGAUAAUUCGGGAUCAACCGGAAGGAAUAUGGGGUUGGGAUUCGUUGUUGGGCUUGCAUUGGCUUGCAUUGGAUUUCUCUCAUGAGCGGAUAUAUAUGAAGUUUGUCUGCAUUUUUUACUAUAAAUUUUCGUUUUUCAAAUGGAUCGAUAAGGGUCUGAUUGGUCGUUGAACAUAUUCUUGUUAUCCACAUUAUUUGUAUUUCCAGAAUUUUUUUGUUGAUUUUGCUUCUGCGCGCUGCUUGAUGUUAAUAAUAAUAUAUGUGAGUUUCUGAAAAUGCUUUAAUCUCCCCAUCUCUCUUUUCCUACCAAAUAGAUCCCAGUUUAAUAUUGAGCAUUAAUCCUAUAAAAAUAUAGGGAAGGAUGUAAUUAUAUAUAAAGAAAUGAAGUGUAAAUACAGAUGCUGAACGUGAUUGGCACCUCAUUUUGCAUUAUAUUUUUCAUCUACUUGAUGACCAUAAACCAGACUGAUGGACUGAAAUCUCGCUCCAUCAGCUCUAUAGUUUCAAAACUUAUAAUACCUCUUACUUCAAAAAUUUCUCAAAGCCAAUCAUCUUUAAUUAAAUUAAAUUUUAAAAAAUAAUUAUAAAGAAAUUUUAAUUUUUCAUUCCCUUCAUCUUCUUUUCAAUUCAAAUUAACUCUAUUUCUUUUCCUUUUUCCUUCUUUCUAUUUCAUCUCCUCCAUUUUUCUUUCUUUACCACUCUUAUUCUCCUUCCUUAUCAAUGGUUAUAAAAAAGUUAGGGUUUUUGGAUGGUGAAUUUGGGUUCAAUGGGGAAAGGAAAAGGCGGGUUCUUUUGAGUAUCAAAAGAAAUAGUGAAAACAAAGAUGACGUUUUUUAUCAUCAAGAAAUAAUGAAACGGAGAAAAUUGGAGGGGAAAGAAAUGAAAAUGGUAAAACCGUAGAUGGGUAAAUUUAAGGUGAAGAUUGGUUUUUUCUUUACUAAAAUUAUAAAAACAAUUAAUUAUAAUUUGGGAAAAGGAUUAUUCCAAUGCUCUAAUAAUUGAUAGGUUUUGUUUGCUUUGUCGCUUAUAUCAUUUUGUUUGCAUCUUUAGCUGAGAAUGCAUAUGGAUCAUGAUACUGUACGAUGAGUUAGAGAAAGCUGAGAAUGCAUAUGGAUCAUGAUACUGUACAAUGAGUUAGAGAUGAAUUGGUUGUUAAAACAAGUGUUUUUUGGCUAAUCAUUUUGAAAAAUGGGAAAAAUAUGAAAAUCAAUAAAAAGAAGAUAGAAGAAUGCAAAUGAAAAGUUUGUUUGGUUGUUGAGAAAAUUUGGAUUUUGUUGAAGUGAAGAAGAAGAUAAAAAGAAAGAAAGAUAGAUUUAAUUUAAUUUAAUUUAAUUUUUAUUCAAUAUUUAAAAUAUGUCAUGUGUCGAACCAUGAUUAGUUAACAUAAUUUUAUUAAAAAAAAGUUAACAGUUAGAAUAAAAAUAAUAUCAAAAAUCAAAGUUUAGAUACCUCCUUCAAUUAAGAAAAGAUGUUAAUGUUUUAAACUUUUUAAUAACAUGAUAUUAUGCGUAUAAUAUUAUCAAAUCAUAAAUAUGAUAAUUAAUUUAAUGAAUUUUAUAAUAUUUUAUAAUAAAAAUUUUAUAAUUUUACAAACACAUAAUAGAUAAUUUAGUUGUAUUAAAAUCCUAAUUUUUAAUAUCAAUAUAUAUUUUCAAUUAGGUAUAAAAAAAGGAUUAUGUUUAUAAAAAUAUUUACUUUUUUAUUAAUUAACAUUUAUAAUUUUAUAAAUUGUCUUUAUGUUGUAUAUCUUCAAUAUUAUUUUAUCCAUAAUAUUUUUUACCCUUGUAUUAUAAACCGUUUAUUACUAUACAUUUACCGCAAUAUGGAAAUGUUACGAAUUAUUAUUAUUAGGCUUAUACGAAAAAUACGUCUCUAAAUUAUGCAACUUUUUUUUAUUUAGGUAUUUAAAUUUUUAUUCCGUUACCACUUUAGGCUUCGACUCUUAAUUUUAGUUAAAAUUUAUUUAAUUAAAAAUGGCGCGUGUUUAAAUUUAAUUGAUUUAGAGGUUUUUUUUUAAUUGGAGUUAACUUUUUAAAUAAUUUUAUUUAAUUAAAAAUAAAAUGUCUCAUAAUUUGAUUGGUUCAAAGUUUUCUUUAACCGAGGUUAAUGGUUGAUACCUAAAGUGAUAAUGAAAUAAAACUUUAGAUACCUAAAUGAGAAAAAUUACACAGUUUAUUGCAUACCUAUUUUUCAUAUUAAAUCUAUUAUUUAUGACUAAGUUAUACAUCAUAUUCUAUUAAUUUAUAAUUAUUUAUUUUUAAAAUAUUAAAUUUAUUAAAAUGUUUUCAGUCAUUUACUAAAUAUGUAAAAUUUUACUAAUUAUUUUAUCUAUAUAAUCUAUAAUAUACAUAAAAGCACAAGUUUGGAAAAACUUUUGAACUAACAAUAAUGCCAUUUAUUUUCGAUCAUAUUAUUAAAUUCACUUUAAAAAUAAUGGAAAAAUUUGUGAAAAUAGAGUUAUUACUUGAAUACAACUCUAACCAUGAAAUAUAUGAAAAAAUUGUAAUAAUUUUAUUUAUAAUUAUUAGUUAAAAUUUUUGAGGUAAAAAAAGUUGUGUUAAUUUUAUUUUUUUUUAAAAUGUGCUAAUUUUGUUGAUGUAAAAUAGAGUUGUUAUUUGAAUAGAACUGUAAGCACCUUAAUUAUCACUUAAUUAAUAUUAAAGUUAUAUAUCAAUUUAAAAUUAAGUUUAGCUUUAUGAAUAACGCCUAGUAGUUAGGCAUAUUGAACUAAGUAGCAUCUAAUAAAAAUCACUGGUAAAAAAAUGAAGAUUGUUAACAUUAAUAAGUUAAAAUUAUAUAAAAAUUAUAAUGGAGCAUCAAAACCAUGGCUAUUUAAAGAGGCACCAAAAAGUGAUAAAAUAUUAUUUUAAUUGAUGAUAAGGUAAUAUAAUAUUAUGAUUUUUUAAAUUUUUUGAGAAGUUGUUUUUACUGUGUGAAGCACUCUUAAAACCGUUUUUUUUAAUCUAUCCAUUAUUUGUUUGGUGUAGGUGAAAUAUUUUGUGAGCUUAUUUUGAAAAUAAAGUCAAUUUUGAUAAAUUAUUUUUAAUCACUAUUAUUAAACAUGUUUAUUAAUUUAGUAUACAUAUUUUUCAUAUUUAUCAUGAACUAUUAUUAUACCUGUUGCAUGUUACGUUAUCUUUUUUUUUCUUAUUCCUAAAUUAAUAUUAUAAUUUAUUAUAAGUAGCAAUAAUUAAAAAUACAUCAUUUAAAAAUUAAUUAAAAAUUAAACACGUAAAAAUACGUGCAAAAUGCAUAUGACAUUAGAAAUUAAUAACGAGUUAUAGAGAAACUUUUUAACUAACUUUUAAGUAAUAGCUUUGCAUAAAAUUAUAAUAAUAUAUUAAUUUCUCAAUUUUAUCUCUUAUAGCACUUAAUUAAUAGUGGUUAAUGUAAUAAUUAAAAAUAAUAAUAUUUUAGAUAAAAUCAUAAUAUCAUAUUAACAAAAUCUUAUAAUAUUAUAAUUAAACAAUAAUGAAUACGAAAACUCUUAUAUCAUAAAUAAAAUAUUAUAAUACUACAAUUAAACAGAUUUAUUAGUGAUAAUUUAAAUUUCUUAGUUUAGAUUAAUAAUAAUUAUUUUAUGGUAUUUUAUGAAUUUUUUUCUUUUAUUAUAACUUGAGAUUGAUGAUGCUUUGUACUAAUCCUGUGCUGGUUUUAUUCAGGCUGCGGACUCAUAGUUCCUUUUACAUGGAUAGAACUAACAAGUGGACCGCAGUUCAUCACACUCACUGAAAAUUUCAACCCAAGCUGACAGCAUGGCUAAAGCUGCAGCUACUUGCAAAAUUCACUUUAGAUGGCCUUAAUUUGCAGUAAUAUUAUAACUUGAAAUAAUGAAGAAGAGAAUGUGCGAUGAAGAAAUUUUAAAUGUAUGAAAUGCAGAAAGAGAUGGAAGCAUGUUGUGUUGGAGUGAAUUACUGAAAGUUGAGGCUUGGAGGGUGCUGAGUAGAUUUGGGUGGAUCAACUUAUAUAUUAUAUUGCCAAAUGAGGUGCCAAUCACGUUGAUCAGCUUCUUAUCAUUUUAGUAUUUUGAAAAAGUUGUACUACUACCACGUUGAUGUGAGAACAAAAACUCUAUAUCACUCAGCCAUUGAAUUUGUAAGAUGGAAACUAAAUGAGUUUGAUAUAAGAAUCAAACUGAACAUUACAAGGCUAUAUAUUUAUGAAAUUUCAUAUUAUUAAUGGGAAUCAGCAGCAAUACAUUGCAUAAGAGAAGGGACCCUCCUCAACCAUCAAUAGUUCUACUAUACUGAGCUACAAAAUAUUUAAAAUUAAAAUAAAAAUCACAAAUAUUACAAAAAUCAAAAGAAAUUUUCCCCACAUUUGGCACCAAUCCAUCAACAGAGACCAUACUGCAGCAACACCAAACCCUCCCUCAACUCUGGGCUAAGUUUGGUUAAAGCUUAUUGCCACCCAUUUGUGAAAAUAUCCUUAAUCAGUACAGCUAAUAUCGUGCUACGCUGUCCAACUUCAAUAUUCUCUUGCCAGAAAACUAGCUAGUCUGAAAUCUUUUUCUUAAACUGAAAUUUCUAUAAAUAAACAUUUACAGGUUGAAACUUCUUAAUAUUUCAGUUAAAUCACUUAUUUUGUUGAGACGUAGAACACUAAACUUUUGCUCACAUGCACUAUUUAGCUUUUAUAUUAUUAUGGUGACAACCUUGACAAACGAAACGGUUCAGGUUUAAGACUGGUAUUGUUGUUGAAAAUAUGUUGGAUCCAAAAUCUAGCUUAUUUUAAAAAUAUGGUGAAAAAAAUAUAAUUUAUACAUAUUAAAUAUUGAAGUUUUUAAAAUAUGUCUUUCAGAAGUUAACGGCCCCUUACUAAGCAAUAUUGUUGUCGUUUAAAGUUUUGUCUCUUGAUUUUAAGAAGAGUUUAAGUGUCAAAAGUUGACUAAAAAGACGCAAAUUCAACAGAGUGAGAAUGCUUUGUUAGAUUGGACAGUGCACACGUACAUGUCUACCUAUCAAAUAAAUGUGGACAUUUAUGCUUUGUAGGGUUUGAAUCAAUGUCUUUAUAUGGCAUUGUUGGGCAUCUAAAUGAUCAUGCAUCAUGCACUAUCCAAUCUAAUGAGAUAUUUUAUCUCUAUAAACUCGUCAAUUCUUUAAGUAAUCUCAAAUCACACUCUCUCCACAAAAUUAAGAGAAAAUCUUAAUAAAAAAUAACUCCAACCUGUUCAAAGAUUCUUCAACUUCUAGUGGAAACUUGAAAAACAAAAAGGUGCUGGAUAAAGAAUUAGCAUAAACAAUUUGUUUUGACAAAAAGAUGCCUAAAUUAGUUGGAAAUCCAACUUUUAACUUCCGAUCUAACUGGAUAAUUGUUGGCCUAGUGUUUAGUGUUCCAUUUAGUAGAGAAGGUUAUGUUGGAUUGUCACAACUAGACUGAUAAAAUAAGUAUCCUUAUUUGUCAUGACCAGUAUGCUUUUAUGUCUCAAGUAAAUUCUGAAAUAAUUUGUUAUAAUUUAUAUUUUUUUAUGCAUAUGACAAGAUUCUUUUAACAGAAUUAGACCGAUUGAAUUGAAAAUUAAUUAAAGAAUCAAUUUAAAAAGAAAUAUUGAACUAGUUGACUCGACAAUUAAUAUAGAUCAAUUAAAUUGGACAAAAAAUUGAUUGAACCGGAUAAUUAAACCAUAUGAAUUAGAUUUUUCAUAUAUAUAAUUUUUUUAUGAAUUUUUAAUGACUUAUUUAUUCAAAGCGGUUAGACCAAUUAGACUAGUUGAACGGACAAACUGAUGAUCUAAUCAAUUCUACCAUCCUCGACAAUUAGAUACAUUUUUUUUAUUCAAUUCAAAUUUUUGAUGAAUGUGAAUAUUUUGUGAAUAAUAUUUUUUAAUUUAUAGUAAUAUUAUAAUCUUAUAAAAUUUAUAUGAGAAAUAAUUAUUUGAGAGAAAUGAUUAAUGCAAUUUCUGUUUUUUAAUACAACUCACACAACUACAAAUAGACAAUUUCUACAAGUCAAACCCAUGACGUGGAUUGGAGUGUAAGAUGGUGAACGCCCACGGAAAAAGAAAUUUUCCUCGAAAUGGUAUAACAUUCAAAACCUUUUGAUGAUACGGUAUGAUGAAUAGAAAAAGCAAGCAACAAAUAUAUACAUACAUAGGGCACUUCCUAAAUAACAAACAUAUAUUCAACGCAAAGUUAUUAAGACAUGAUCCUCCUUAUAAUAUAAAUGUAUUAUAUGAAAAUAAUUUAUUUUUAUGAGUAUGUUGGGGGUAUAAACUGCUUAGAAAAGAGUAAAGCUUUGGGUUGGGUGCAGUUGGCAGAUUAACAACACCCUAUCAAUGUUGAGCCGAAGACCAAGAGUUGGCAUCAAUCCAGUUAAAAGCAAUAGGGCUGAGGUAAGCAUCAGGAAUGCCAAAGGAACUGACCAAAGCAAGUGCAUGCGGUCGAAGUUCACUGCAUAUUUUUGUUAUUUCUCUCCUCACUGUAGCAGCAUUCUCAACUGACAGGUACCCAUAUCGGAGAUACGCACCAUCUUCCAGACAAUUCAAGGCAUACAAUGAUCUCAGCAAACCCAGCACAUCCUGCACAACAAUGGAAAUGAAGAUUCAACAGCCUGUCUAAUGCACAAAAAACUGCAUAAAUCUUCUCAUGCCUUCAAUAUUUGAAGUGACAAACAUGCAAAGUUAUUUUUAUAUUAGAUGAUUUUCAUCUUGCAAAUCCCGAGAAUUUUUACCCAUCUCUUAUCCUAUAUAUAUGACUGCAAUUUUCUAUUCAUCUCUUCCGAUCAUAUCCAUCCCACCAUAUCCUGCAACGCAACUUCAGACAACGAUGAAGUUUGAGUUGUUUCUGGUUAGGUUAAGCCAGGUUUUGGAUAAGUUUUGAAGUCAGUUUGGGUUGGGUGAGUGAUGUUUUCCAUUUAGAGUCAGAUUCAGCCACUUCUACAACCAAGGUCCUAACAAUCAGGUUCAAUUAGGUUUUAGUUGGGUCCUUUUAUGCUCAAGCUAUUGACUCUUAAAUUUUUGGUUUUAAAAGGGCUGGCUUAAGUGAUUCAGAUUACGUUCAUUUCACCACUUCUAAAUUAGAACGAAUACCGAGCGGAUGCUACGGCUGGAUGCUCAUUUGAGAUACAUUCUCUAAUACUAACCUUCAAUGAACCAGCAGCUAGAGUUGCUUCUGCCUCAACAAAUGUUUGUAAUAUUGUUCGAUCUGAAAAAGCUUUUCCCAAGUCCUCUGCUAGCUGAUAACUCUGGUGUGAAUAAGCGACUAUUAGACUAAAAGGUGGAUAAAAAAGAAUAGAAACUUAGAUAAAAGCAAGUGCUUCCUCACCAUAAUGAACGCGUGCUCUUUACUUUCUCCCUUGGCUUGACACUGUGAGACUUCCGCAACAAACCGAUUCAAAAGAUCUCUCUCCCUUAAGCACAAGGCAUCUAUCUGAAAUAGGACAAUGGUCAGAGAUGCCCACAAAUUUAUAUGGAAUUAUCAACUGUAUAACUGAUGCUAGUCUAAUUUACCUGGAAUUGGCUGCAUCUGAGGGUAGUCGUAGUAAGCUGUGAUGGAAUGACAGGGCAGGGUUUAUUCAUGUGUUCUAAACCCAGACCCUUGAAAGCCUUGUUUGGCUUCUGAGCUGCCAUGUAUUCAGCAAACAGAGCUUUGCUGACCUGAGUUGUCAUGUUCAAUCAUAAGUUCCACUGUUUAGUUGUCAAUACAUUAGGAUGUUGUGAACCCAAAAUCCAUGAAGCCUAUUAAAAUGACCUACACAUCUAACAGGCCAUGGUCAGGGGACUACAUGCAUCAUAUGGGUCAUUUCAAGGAAAACAAAAUCCAGUAAAAACCCAUACACAGAGAACUCAUUCCCCAAUUCUGCAUCUGCUACUUUCAUUUUACAUUGAGGUCAUAUAUUCUCAGCCGGUUUAGUUGUAAGUUGUAACCAACUGUCCUUGUCAAAGUAAAUUCGUAAGGAAAGAAGAAAGCAAAUUUACCUGCAGCAUUAAAAUAUUAUUGUCCCCCUCAAAAGUGGAUUGCACAUCAUGUUCAGCUUUUAGAUGACCAACACGAUUCUCUGUCUUUAGUCCUUGUCCUCCACAAGCUUCGCGACAUUCCUGAAGCAUUCAACAAUUGAACGUCUGUAAUGGCACUUAAUGUUGAAAUGGUUCAACUUACUCCAAAAUUGUUUGUAGCUCACUGAUAUGGACGCUUUAAUUGCAAUAGGAUUUUUUAGUUUUAUUUAUUUAUUAUAUAUCAGGUUUUACUAAGAGUUUUAGUUAUACUUAUUUUAUCUAUUAUAUUAUGUUUUUAUUUCCUUCAUAAAUCUAAGUUAGGAAUUUUAUUUUAUGUCAAUUAAGACUCUUUCCUUUGUCAUUAACAGUCUAUAAAAGGCUGUCAAUAUGAAAUAAAGAGGUAAGCAAUUAUUCUAUCAAAAGAAACGUUAUUUUAAGAAGGGGUUCAGUUAAGAACGAAUCUGCCUUUUGAGUAACCAUAAGUCGAAACAAGAAUUCUUUCUCGUCUAGACUUGUAACUAGAUCCUACACCAAGGCACAUAACAACUUGGUAUCAGAGCUAGCUGUCAUGGGUGACGAAAAGACUUUGACAGCCAAGCUGGAGGCAUUGAUGGAACAAAUGGCUCCAAGACAACAAGCAUUAGAAGAGCAGAUGGCGAUAUUAUCUCUUUCGGUCCAAAAGAUAACGAAAAGAGAUUCAGAGAAGAAUAAUGAAGAAUAGGGCAGUAGCGGAGGCAGGAAAAGGAAUUUAGACUUGCAACACGGUGGGUGCAUGGUGCCACGAUACUCUAAGAUGGAAUUUCCCACUUGUGAUGGUGUUGGAGAUCCUUUAGGGUGGUUGAAAAGAUGCGAAAAUUUUUUUGACAAUCAACGAACCAACGAAGAAGACAAAGUAAGCUUAGCAUCAUUCCAUCUUUUAGGAGAGGCAUAAUUGUGGUUUGAUCAAAUGGAAGAAGAGGAGGCAAAUCUUGAUUGGGGGCGCUUCAAAAAGUGUUGUCAUGUAAGGUUUGAGCCAACUAUGAGUAAUAACCCCUUGGGAGAACUUGCCAACUUGAAACAAACUGGGACUGUAGAGGAAUAUCAACAUCAAUUUCAAUCACUAUUGGCUAGGACUACUGAUCUUAAACCUCAACAAUAAGUAAACCUCUUUACUGCCGGGUUGAUAGAGGAACUUAGAAUUGAUAUUGAGAUGCAACAACCAAAAAGCCUUGAAGUUGCAAUGAAUAUGGCUCGAACAUUGGAAUGUAAACAAAAUGCCUCUUCCAAACUGUCAUCUCGAGCCAUCCUGAAUUGGCCAACUUCCCAAAACACUGACAGCAAUUCAAUCAUUCCAACAACUAAGAACAUUGCAAAAGGAGGGGGACAAACAAUAGAACCAAUAGGGAACAACGGCAAAAUAGGUUCUUCUACACCAUUUAUUAAGAGAUUAACACGGAUAGAAAUGGCGGAAAGAAGGGCUAAAAGGCUGUGUUAUAAUUGUGACGAAUCUUAUUCCAUGGGACACAAAUGUAAAAGGUUAUUUUGGAUAGAAGUAUCAGAUGUUGAAGCAAGAUGAUGAUGAGAUAGAUGAUUUUGGAUAAGUUCUGAAAUUUAUUCUGAAUUUGAGCUUGAGGACAAGCUCAAUUCCGAGAAGGGGAGUAAUGAUAUGGACGCUUUAAUUGCAAUCGAAGUUUUUAGUUUUAUUUAUUUAUUAUAUAUCAGGUUUUACUAAGAGUUUUAGUUUUACUUAUUUUAUCUAUUAUAUUAGGUUUUUAUUUCCUUCAUAAACUCUAAGUUAGGAAUUCUAUUUUAUGUGAAUUAGGACUCUUUCCUUUGUCAUUAAAAGUCUAUAAAAGGCUGCCAAUAUGAAAUAAAGAAGUAAGAAAUUAUUCUUUCAAAAGAAACGUUAUUUUGAGAGGGGAUUCAGUCAAGGACGAAUCUGCCUUUUGAGUAACCAUAGGUCGAAGCAAGAAUUCUUUCUCGUCUAGACCUGUGACUAGAUCCUACGCCAAGGCGCAUAACACUCACCUGAAGUAUUUGCAUGUUACUCCAUGUAAAAGUAGCCUUGAAUGAACUUGAAACUACAUGAAUGAUUUUGUUUGACUGGGGUGUCCUCUUCACAUACAGCAUUUUCAAGUAAUUUGCUCCAAAACUCAUAGCAAACCUGCAGCAUAAAAAUGAAAAUAAACAAAUGAGGGUUUAAAACUUACGGUAAACGUUCAACAAACACUUAGACAACAUACGUUUUCUCUAUACAUGCACAGAAAAGAAUGACUAAUCUUAUCUACCAAGCCAGUGAAGAAAAAAUUGUCAUGAUGAGACUUGCUACAAGCACAGUACUUAAGUUUCAAACACAAACUGGACUUAAUAAGAGUUCAGGAGAAUACAUAUACAUAUAUAUAUACAUUUCCUAAACUACCUCUAAACCCCUCCAAACUCCAACUAACUAAAUUGGAGGAUUACACUCUUAAUAGUGCUCGAACCCACAACCUCCAAAUUGCUACAACAACAACGGUGCCAACUGGGGUAGCACUCUGAUCAAGAAACUGUGCAUAUACUUACGUCUUUGCAAGGAGAGGCAAGAGUCGUCGUUGAUGACUUGGGUAAUCAAGCAAUAAGACCUCAGGUUCCUUUGGUUUAAGAGAAAAAGCCCGCCUUGUUAAAGCAUAUCUAAUGGCAAUAGCUAAACCAACCUGUAAGGAGAGUAAUGGCAUGAUAUCAGCGACCUUUACAUUUGAUAGUAGUGGCCUGCCACCCAUACCCAAAAUACAAAAAACAUGCAAAUUUCUUCUGCCAAUAAAAACGGACAAGAUGCUUAGAAAAAAAUGAGGUAUACCUUUGACUGGUAAACUGCAUUAACUGCAAUAUUAACACGGCCUGCUGUUAGAGGGGCCAGGAAUGCAGCAAAUCUCUGAAUUAAAGCAACAGACAUGUAAGAGAAACCAACACAGUAUUACCAGCAAAACAGUUGUAGUACAAUAAACGGCUCUAGAGCAGAUACCAGUCAACUCAAAUAAAAGAAGUACCUGAUCUGGGUCUUUUAUAGCACUUAGAUAUUUUCCAUCAGGUGAAACAUCAGCAACUGAAUUUAAUAAGUUCUCUCUCGGCACUCGAACAUUGUCAAACCUGAAAUAACAUGAGCAGACCUUUAAUAUUAGAAUUUUUCUAAGAAAAAGAAGAGACUAAAGAAUCCAUAGUAGAGUGUGAGUUUACACUACCAGAUUCUACCGUUAUCAACACCAUUUAAACCAAUUUUAUGACCACAGUCAGCAAUGCGAAUGUUUGGACGUACAUUACCAUCAGCAUCCCUGAUCUGGGCUAUAAGUGCAUGAACCCCUUGAUUGGUUCCAUUGAUAUUGAGCUGUGAAAAAACAAUUGUGUGUGUUGCAUGCUAGACAACAAUGCAACAACAGAAGUAUACCAUGUCAGCAUAUACACAAAACAGAGGGAAGGAUAAUAAAAACAGCUAAAUAAAAACUUCACAUUACAAAGGAAUCUAAAAACAGACUCCAUGGAGAGAAAUGGUAUUUAGUUCUAAGAGAAGCUUACGUUGGCUGCUCCGCCAAUCCAAUACUUUUGAGCUGAUUCACAAGGAGUAUUAAUGACAAACUCCCCUGUGUUUGAGUCAUAUGUUGUUAUUGUUUCAAUGCCGCGAACCUAAAAGCAGUAACUCUAGAAUAAAUCAGGAACAAGAGGAAGACCGCAUAAAAAUUCAGAAAAAGCAUGAUUCUCCUUACUAAAGGAUUAGACAACCUUUACAUACAUUACUUCCAUGCCCCAACUCAGUCAUUGCAAAGCAACCUUUGAUCAAGUAAUUUUCAGUGUCCCUCAGCCACUUGUCAUGGUGGUGCUUGGUACCGAAAAAUUGGAUGGCACCACCCCUGCAUACAUUAUGACAAUAGUAGAACUCAGUUCCAAAUUUUCUUAUUUUCUACUUCAACCUUGUCGACUAAAAAGUCUGCACCCCUUCCUAUAACAAUGGGUUAAAUUCAUAAAUAAAAUGUAAGGCAAGCAACAAACAGCUCUCGGUUCCAUUAAAUUUCAAACUUCAAUACACUAAGACUUUGUUGGUUAGUUUCUUUUGAUACUUAUAUCUUUUGCUAUUUGAUUUUUUAUUCUUCAUUGCUAACAGGUAGGAUCAUAUUUAACUAAAAUAAACAAAUUGAAAAUCAAUUAAAACAAGGCAUUGUGUUGUAUAUUAUCAAAUAGAGUAAUGCAACCAAGGAAAAUGAAGAAGAAAUGAAUAUACAGUUAAUAAAGACACUUCAAGGGAGCUACUACUCUUAAGUGCAAAAGGGCUCUUGGUAACAUUUUUAAAUAUUACCAUGAAAAACUGCCACUACAAAAAAAAUGCAGCCCAAGCUUUUUUUGAACAUAUUUCACCAAAACUAAGAAUUUGAGAGAGAGAGAGAGAGAAUGAGUAGUAAAAAAAAUGCAGCCCAAGCUUUUCUUGAACAUAUUUAACCAAAACUAAGAAUUUGAGAGAGAGAGAAAGAGAGAAUGAGAAGUUGAAUAUAAGUAAUAGUUCAAUUCAGUGUAAAUGAAUGCAUUCAUAGAAACUAACAAGUGCUAUGAAAGUAUUCUUUUAUAGAGAACUAUCUGAAAUCUUGAAAUAAUAUCCCUUCAUGAAAAGCCGUCACAAAGUUAUAUCUUGUCCUACAUACUAAAUUCAUAAAAACAUGCGAUCUAUACUAUUUUACAACUUCUGUUUAAAAUCAAAACACUUAGAAUAAUUUUGGUAGACUUCAUGAUAACAUUUUCUUACUCAAAAAAUAUAAAAAUUCUAAUGGUUACUCUUUUUUAUGUAUUCAAAUCUAUUUUUACACCUAAAAGCAAAGUAAGGGAAAUAAUGCAUAAAGGAAGUCUAUAACUUUUAAAGUGUGUUUGCUCGGGUAAAAGGAGAAAGUAAAAAAUUGAAAAAAAAAAUUCAUUUUGAAUGUGCUUAAAAAAAUGAGAGAAAUAAAUAUAAAAAGGUGAUCAUCUUAUAUUCCAAAUUAGAAUGAUAAAAAGAGAGAAAAUUGUAUAUUAAUUUAUUUUUAAAUGUUUUAUUUUAUAUCUUUAAAAUUUUCAACGUAAAAUUAUUCUUCUUUUCAUUUUCUUCAUCAGCGCGCUUAUAGAAAAAAAAUUAUAAUUUUUUUUAUGAAAAUAAAAUUAUUCAGAAAAAAUAUACUUUUUCAUAUUUAUAUGUAGAGUUUGAAAAGUAAAACGAAAUCCAAAAAUUUAGAUUAAUCUUAAGAAGAUAGAAAAGAGAAAAGGCAGAUAACGCACCACAAGAAGAAGUGAACUCCAAGCUUAAUGGAGAUGGAAUGAUCGAAGAGACCCAAAACCUCAAAGCAAGCGAACCUUCUCAUCUCAAUUUCUUCUCCUUCCCCCGUUAACCACCCUUGGAACACUCCCCUCUCGAACAAAUACUCGAUGCGUUUCCACGUCAUCUCCCGCUGCUGCUCCAUGGACUGGUUAUAGUCCGGCGACACAAACACCUUCCCUCCCCUCACUCUGGGAUUGAACACCUUGCUCUGCGUGAUCAUCCCAAACAGCCGAUCCCGCUCCUCCAGGUCGUGCCCGUCCAUUAGCUUCCGCAUAUCGUUGAUGUCGAAUGCAUAUUUUUCGGAAAGUUCGGGCGGAGAGUAGUUCAAACAGGCGUUUGAAGAAAGAGAAGGGGUUUGAAAGGACGAAGAAGGAGGUGAUUGGAGGAGGUGAUCGGUUAGGACUUUGGUUCUCUGAAAUGCUCGAUCCAUUGCAGAAUUACGUGUUUUUUUUUCUUUUUUUGCCAUCCUUUAUUUGUUUGUUCAAAAGAGGAAGUCUGAUGAUGGUGGUGGUUGCGUUUUCGAUUGGGCGACCCGACCAUUUAUUUCCUUAAAAUUACGCGCGAACGGUGGAGUUAAAAACGCGCGAGUAGUAUUUUUUACAUUGAAGCACUCGCGUUUUGAUUGGAUCCAGGAAGCGGUUAGGUUGGGUUGGUCAUCCGGGGUUAGGUUCAUCAGCCAACUAUCUACAUUGAAAAAUCUGACCUUAUCCGUAUUUCUCAACUUGCGCCUUUUUUACAAAGAUAAUAUAAUAAAUAUAUUAAAUUAAAAAAUGGUUUAUACGUUACAUUAAUUACCAAAAUGGUAUAAAUAAGAUGGUGAAGGUUGGUAUAUAGACCGCAUCACUUUUAUUUUCUAACAGUUGUCCCAUAUAAUUAAAAAAAUAAUAUUUUAAUAGGUGAAGCCUUAUUGAUAGGUGAUACCUAAAUAUCAAAUUUAGUAUAUACCCGUUUUUAUAUAUUGGUAUAGUAUUUGGGGGUGAUAUCAUAUCAAGAGGUGGUACUAGUGACCCCUCUUUGACAGGCUACACUAGUGACCAUCAUCUAAUAAGCGGCAAUGUAGAAGAAGCAUAUUUGGGAGACAUUAUAACCAUGGUCCCCCUUUGUAGUUUUAAAGUUGGAGAAGUUGUUUUUUUUUAUUUAAAAGAAAAGGAAAGUAGAAGAGAGGAAGAAGAAAAAAGGUAAAAAAAAUAGUAGAGAAGAUUAAAGGAAAAGAAAGUUAAAAGAAAGAAAGGAGAAGCAAAAAAAUGAAAUGAUAGUAGAGAAAUGGAAGGUGAAGGUAUGUUUUUCUUUUUUUAAAUAGAAGCAAUUAGAAAUUAUUUUGUUAUUAAUUUGUUUAGUUUGAUGUUUAUUGUGAUUUGUUAUAAAUGUAAUUUUUUAUGUUGUUUUUAAAUUAUUUUAAAGUUAUUUUGUUAAUAAUUAUUAUAAAUUAAUUGUUAGUUAGUGAUGACAUUAGGGGAAAAUAGAUAAAUACUAAAAUUCAAAAAAAAAACUUGAUUUCUGUCAUAGAUAUUGGAAGAAAUGAUAAUAAAUUUGAUAUUUGCCUGAUGAGAUAACAACUUCAACACGAAGGGAGAAAGUUGAUAGGAUGAUUAGAGAUGUGUAAGAUUAUAGAAUGAAACCAGAAGAAACAUUGUUCAACACCUUAUUACCAAAAAUCAAAAUAUCCAAAAAGUGUUAUGGAAAAUUCAUGAACUAAUUAGAAAAAAUAAAGUGCGAUAAUUUACCCUUAGAGGGACAUUAAUAGAACGGGAGCAUCAAAUGAUUUUAGACCAACUUUGGAAGACAUUAGUACCACGAACUUAUUGGAAUAUAGUUAUAUACUAUGUAAAGUUUAUAAUCUCCUAUGGAGCCAAGGAAAAUAGCGAGACAAAGUGUAGGUUCGCGAAAGUUGACUGGGAAGCAAAAUGUUUUUGACAUGCCAUGGAUGGAUAAAUUAGUUGUUAGGAAAUUACUUUAUAAAUUCAAUACCCAUUAUAAAGAUGGAAGAGGAAAAAGAUCUUGAGGAAUUUUCAAAUUGGAUUGUAGAAGAUGAAUUUGAAGAGAAUUCAAAUUUUAAUAUAGAGAAUUUCCUGGAGGAAGAUACAGAAUUAGAGAUGGAAGAAAAUGUAGAAAUGAGUUUAAGUGGUUAAAUGUGAAGAUAAAGUAAAAGUUGAGACUAGAAAAUGUAAAAAAAAAAAGAGAGUAAAUAUGGUUGUACAUGUACGAAAUGAGAACUUAAUGUUGAUAUAAUGCUGAGCUUAAGAAUAAAAAGUUUUGCAUAUUUAUAAAAUGUUGGUCUUUUUUUUACAGUUUAUUUUUUAUUAAAGUUUUUUUUUGUUGUUCGAAAUUGUAUUGAGAUUUUUUUAACAGAUUUAGUAUUAAAUAUGGAUAAUUAGUUUUUUUGUAUGCGUUUAUUUCAAUGGAGUAAUUUUGACAAAAGUUGGAUGUAUAUUUGAAUGUUGCCAACAUAUAACAAUGAGAUUUAAUAGAAAUGUCUCAGUUGAUUAUAUGAAGAAAAUGAUUAGUGCAAAAAUUAUUAGACAUUAUGGAAAAAAGAUCUCGAAACUUUUAUACAAGUUUCCAGUUUCAACAGAUCCCAUCAAAUUCACCGAGAUAGAACUUGUAGACGAUGAAGACGUGGAGACAAUGGUCACUCUUUAUUGUGAGAAUCGGAGUGACUAAAAUGCACUGAUUCAAUUAUUUAUUGAGUUAGCUAAUAUUGAGCCAACUAAGGAUCCCACUCCAUUAGGUGAAGAACAUGGAGCUCAAGAGCAGUAUAUGGUUGUUUUUAUAUCGUACAUUGAUAGUCAAUCGAUUUUAUGCGGGAUCGACAUCGAGCUUUUAAUAUUGCAUCCGCCAAAACUGAUGCGGUUGGUGAUAACGGAUGCGAUAGUAGUGAUCCUUUUAGUCACGAGAUCGAUAGUGAUAGUGAUCCCGAUGUGGACGACGUCCUGAGUGUAACAUCCCAAACCCGUAUACGUCGCCAGAACAGAGUUACGAAGCAUUACCAAAAUAAAUAGAUCAAAUACAGACAUUUCAUAUCAUUUAUCAUUUAUCUUAGAAAUCAAUCAUAAACAAUCAUAUUGUCCCUUAUAUGAGCCCUUGAGGCCCAAAAUAUGCAAUAGAAAUAAGUCAGAACUAAUUCGGGUACUUAGAGAAUUUUUCGCAAAAUUUCAAUGUUUUUCCUAGGUGCAGGAGGGUACACACACCCGUGUAGUCAAGCCGUGUGAACAUUUGAAAUAGGGACACACAACCAUUUCCCAGCCCGUGUGCUAAGCCGUGUGAACAUUUUAAUUUUACAUUAAUUAAGUACAAGGGUCACACAGCCAAAUUACACACCCGUGUGUCAGGCCUUGUGCCACACUGCCCGUGUGAAAAUACUUGAGCAUCCUGUUUUGCAAUUUUAAAGAUGUAGGGAACACAAGGCCGAACCACACAUCCGCACGCAUGGCCGUGUGUCACACAAGGCUGAGACACACGCCCUUGUCUUUACCUGUGUAAACGAAAUAGGGCUAUUUCCAAGCUAUAUUUCUCACCCAAACUUGCUUUCCACUUGCAUUAACACUUUAAUACAUUCACAAACCAAUACCAAACACUCAAAUCAAGACAAACUCAAGUUUAAUACAUGUUAUAGCACCCCAUAUGUCCAAGUACACAAUCUUACCUAAUGGUUCAUAUAAACAUAUAUGCAUUUUUCAUCAAUCAGGUUAUCUCAAAUCACUCCUCAAUAUACCUAUGUAAAUUUCUAUCAUUCAUCCAUUUCAAUCCAUAUCAAACAUAUUAAGACCUUAUAUAUAUAUAAAACUAUAUCAACCACAAGCCAUGACAAUGGCUAGAUUCAAAUCAAUAUUUAUAUGCCAUUAUUGAUCAAAUCUAGCCUAUACAUGCCAUUAUAACCAAAAUGUAAUUUACUAUAUAUAUACUGAAACAAGCCGAUGGAUAGUGUGAGAUAUCUCCAGCAAGCUUCCAAUCCUACGAGCUUCCGAAUUACUAUAAAAUAGAGAAAAUAAAAUAGAGUAAGCAUUUAAUACUUAGUAAGUUUGUAUAACAGGAAGUUAACUUACCAUUUAAUUGCAUUUAAGGUAAAUAUACUUAAUAUAUUCAAAGAAAGUUGGCCAAUAGCGUAUACACAUAUCCUCAUAAAAAUGUUAGUCAUUUAUUUCACUUGAAUAUCAAUAAACAAGUAUGAACUUAUCAUUAAUCAAGUUGCCUUAUUCAUUUACUUUCCAUAUCAUAUAUUCAAUCUUCAUAUACAAGUCAUAUUCAUGUAGUCAAAUAUAUAUCCAUAAUCUUUUAUCACAAACUCAUAUUGUCAUUUAUCAUAACUUUACCUGUUGAACCACUUAUAAUAUUGAUGGAUACAUGGUUAGUACACACAAAGUGUACAUACUAUAUUCCAUCAAUUCAUAUUCAGGAAUGCUCAUUGAGCAUUUAAACGAGAAGCUCUUCCAAGCCAAAUAAUAAAAAGCUUAUGUGAGAUUAUAAUAGGAAGCUUAUCCGAGUUUAAUAACAGAAAGCUCAUAAGAGCUUAAAUCAGAAAGCUCAUGCGAGCUUAACGGGUAAUUUCGAAGAGCUAUUAUCAGGAAGCUCAUGAAAGAGCUUUUAAUCGAGAAGCUCUAGAUAGCCAUAUAUCGGGAUGCUCAUAAAAGCUGCGGUGUGUCCGCAACAUAUGCAGGAUCACUACCAAUCAGAAUGCUCAUAGGAGCAUAUAAAUGUGAAUAUUAGAAAAACCAUGUAUCAGAAAGCUCAAGAGAGCUUAUAUCAGGAUGCUCAUGUGAGUUAUAUCAGAACGCUUGCGAGCUAUGGUGUGUUCGCAACAUAUGCAGAACCAUAACCACUCUGGGAACUUUGUAUCCAUCUAAUUUCAUUUGUUCAAACGAGAUUUAUUUCUUGUCAAACAUUGUCGGAUAUGUGAUUUAUUUUCAUACUUAACAAUUAUACAAAUUACAUAUAUAUAAAUCAAAGCAUAUCACAUAAAUAUACAAUUUAGUUACACAAUCUUACCUCUACAAUGUUCGUGAACUCAUAUGCUACUAAUUCGUUACUUUUUCCUUUCCACAAACUAACUUCGUAUUUGAGUUAUCCAGAUCUAUACGAGUAAAUUUAACUCAAUUUAAUACAAUUCAUAAUCAAUUCAAUUCAAUUCACAUCCUAAGAAAAAUUACCAUUUUACCCCUAUACAUUUAAUUAAUGACGAUUUCGUCUCUAGGCUCGGAAAAUGAAUUUCAUACAAAUUAACCCUUAUUCCAAGCCUACCCAAAAUUUUCAUAUAACAAUAACAGUCCAUGUAUUUCACAAAAAUCAGAAAUUUUCCAUAAAAUUUACAUCUUUUCAAUUUAGUUCUUAAAUUACAGUUUCAUGAAAAUUUCCUUUACAAAAGUUGUUUAUCUAUCAACAACCUUUCUAUUUCUACUAUAAAACUUCAUAAUUCAUACAUAUUCAACCAUGGAAAAACUUUAAUACUUUGAUAACUUUACAAAUUAAUCCCCAAAAUAACUAGAUUAGGUUAUUACGAUAUCAGAAAUAUAAAAAUUACUAAAAACGGGACAAGAAAACAUACCUAAUUAAGCCAACAAAGUUUUCUCUCAGCUAAGCUUUCCAUGCAUUUUUAAUUUUAAGGAAGAUGAAAUAAGAUGAUAUUAGUUUAUUAUCAUAUAUAAUUAUUUCAAUUUCUAAUUUUCCAUGGAUGAUUCAUCAAACUUAUCUAUUAACUCCUCUUAAUGGUCUAUUUGCCAUAUAAGGACCUCAAAUUUUGAAUUCCAUAGCUAUUUGAUACUUAUAGCUACUAGAACUCAACUUUUGAAUUUUAUGCAAUUUAGUCCUUUAUCAAAUUAGACAUGUAAUCGGUAAAUUUUUCUUAAUGAAAAUUUUCAUAUGUUAUUUCUAUCAUAAUACAGACCAUGCGCUAAUAUUAAAAUAAAUUUUCUUUCGGACUUAGAUUUGUGGUCCCGAAACCACUGUUUUUAUGUUACUAAAAAUGGGUUAUUACACCAGGUGAUAUUAACGAAAAAUACGUGAAUGAUGAUUGAAAUGUUAAUGCGUUGUGAUACAUAAUAAUCUUGGGGUACACAUGUCGCUCAUAAAACCUAAUGCGGCGCAUGUAGCCAAGUUCCUGAAGUACCUUAAUAUACUACCUGCUCACUAACUGGCCGUAGAUUCUGAUCUUGAGAAGUUGUUCGUGUAACACCCCUUACUUGUGUCCGAUGCUAGAACAUUGUACGAGACAUUACUGAACUUAUUCAUUCACAAAUACACAAAAAUCGGGCUACAAAAUUUCUUUUAAUUCAAAACUUUUCAUACACGGGCCUAUGAAGCCUUAAACAUGCAUUGAAAGUAGUAGGGACUAAACCGAGAACCUUAGCAAGUUUUAGGAAAACUUAGAAAAUUUUUCCCAAGAAACAGGGUCACCCGCCCGUGUGUCUUGGACACGACUGUGUCCUCAGGCCGUGUAACUCUCUGUUUAUGAUGUCAGUAUGCAAAUUGAACCACACGGCCGGGCCAUACGCCCAUGUCUCCAGGCCGUGUCCCACACAUAGUUGAGACACACAGCCGUGUCUCAGCCUGUGUGGCAAACACUUAGGCUAUUUUCCAAGCCUUCAUGUUACCCAUAAACCCUUACAACCUUAUACAUAUUAAAACCACAAAUCAUGGCAUCAUUUUAGUGAUUAAAACACUCUUUAAUGAGAUAUAUUCAUAACAUUAUCAUGUACUCUUACAAGUAAUUGCUCUACUCAUACAAUAUCAAGUCUAGAAUCCUCAAUUCACAUUCAUAAGACUUAUCAUUUUGAUGAUCACUUUUACCAUUAUACUAUAGUUAUCCACUUAUCUAUCCAGUACUCAUGUUCAACCAUUAUCACAUUGUUUUUAUAACGUGCAAUUACUACAUGGCCAUGACCACCUCAAUUGGUCAUAGAGGAUACAUCCAACACACAUGUCAUAUGUUUAACCAUGCAUGACAACCAAACAUAAUCACAUCAUAAACAUUAGACAUAACAUGAAUAGCUAGAUUUAUGAACCGAAAUCAAUAUGAGCCACAUCUCAUGGCCAUAUACACAUAACUUAAUAUAAGCCAAUACAUUUGGCCAAAAUCAUAAUAACACAUACCAUGAAACUAGAUCCCUAUACAUGCCACAUACUUGAAAAUUUCUAACAUAUGCUUCAUUAUUCCAAAGGUACUGACUUGAUAGUGUGAUGCUGCCUCCGACGAUCUCCAACCCCGAGCUAACCUGUCAACACUAAAGAAAAGGAAAGGAAGGGAGUAAGCUUUAUAGCUUAGUAAGACCGUAUGAAAAUAAUAAGCAUUUUAUCAACUUGCUUCACGAAGUAAGACAACCAUAUUUGUACUUUUAUUUAUGUUUAGGUCAAGCUAUUUUCUCGAGUUAUAAUCAUUAAAUUAUUUAUAUCUAGAGCUACGGAAUUCCAAAUUAAGAUUUGCUAAUUUUCCAUGAAACUAGACUCAAUAUCUUCUUACCAUAAAAUUUUCAGAAUUUUUGGUCUAGCCAAUAAGUACAGUUUAUUCUUUAAAGUUACCCCUUUUAUGCUGUCCGAUAGUUCCAACCCUUCUUCACUAAAAAUUAAUUAUCUCCUCAUACAGAAUUUGAACGAUGUUACCGUUUGUUUCUUUUCAAAAUAGACUCAUUAAAGAUUCUAAUCAUAUAAAUUUUAACCCAUAAUUAUUUUUUUAAAAUUUUUAAUGAUUUUUCCAAAUUAGGAUAGGUGAUUUCGAAAUCAUUCUGACUCUGUCUCACAAUAAUUUAAAUAUUUCAUAAUAUGAAACUCUUUUGCUACAACGUUUCUUUUAAAUGAAACUAGACUCAUUAAGCUUUAAUUUCAUAUUUUAUUCAACCUCUAACUCAAUUUCCAAAAAUUUUGGUGGAUUUUCAAAGUCAUACAACUGCUGCUGUCCAACACUAUUUUGGUGCAAUAUAAUGAUAACUAUCGUAAGUUCACUGUCAACUAAUCAUGAACUCACCAUUUCAUGAAUUUCAUGUUCAAGUGUACAAUAUAAGUUAACAUGACAUUGCAACAAAAUUUAUAAUCAUAAUUCAUACAUCUUAGCUCACCGAUGUCUCAACAUUUCAAAGUCUCAAUAACCAUAAGCUUAGUGCACAUACAUGUACUCAUCGUAAUAUAUCAUAUAACCAUACCUCUUUAACAUGCCCUCCUUGGGACUUUCAUAAUAUCUAUUGCAUUACUCGUUGAACCCCCGAAAUACUAUUGGAUACGUAGAAAACUUGCACAUAAGUGCCACAUAUACAUACGUAGCCAAAGCUACUUCAUAACAUGUAACACUCACAAUGAAGCUGUAAUGCCCCCACGCCCGAGACCAUCGCCGGAGUCGAGUAUGAGGUGUUACUAAGCUUAGUUUAACAUUUUUAGAACUUUGGAUUAUUGUUUCUACAUUCACAGCUUUUAAGCUACUUGCGUCAUAGUCACAAGAAAAAUCAUAUCUCGAGUUACGAAACUCGAAAUCAAGAUCCGUAAAUUUUUCCUGAAUCUAGACUCAUAUACCUAUCUACUAAAUUUUUUAUAGAAUUUUUCGUUGGGCCAAUUAGUACAUUUUAUUAGUUAAAGUUACCCCUAUUUCAGGACUCGACUGGUCUGACCUCUAUUUACUACGAACCACAUUUCUCUCUGUACAAAAUUCAUAUGACUAUGAGAUUUGUUUCUACUAAAACUAGACUCAAUAAGGAUUCUGAGGAUAUAAAAUAUACCACCUAAUUAUAUCUUUAUAAUUUAUAAUGAAUUUCUAAAGUUGGAAUAGGGGAUUCAAAAAUUGCUAUGACCCUGUUUCACUAAAAUUCAAAUAUCUUCUAACAUAUAAUUCCUUUACCUGUUUCAUUUGUUUCAUGUGAAACUAGACAUAAUAAGCUUCAAUUUGAUAUGUAUUCCAUCACCAAAUUCAAUUGAUAUGAUUUUUAAUAAAUUUUCAAACUCGAGUCAGUGUUGCUGCAGUAUUCUGUUUAUGGCAAAUUUCAUCCUUUUUAUGAGUUUUUAUGCACUAAGUAUCUUAAUAGUUUUCCUUAACAUCAAACAUAAUCUACACUAACCAUUUUCAUAAUUUAUCAUUAUCAAGCAUUUCCUCAACCAUUCCACAACCAUACCAUAAGAUCAUUUACACAAAAUAGGUAUAUUGCUAUACAUGCCAUACUUAAAUUUACAAGCCAUUUACCAAAAGUCUUCCGGAUAGUGUGACUGAGCCUUCGACCUAUCCCGACUCCUGAGCUGGCUUGUCCAAAACUACAAUGAGUAAGAAGGAGGGAGUAAGCAUAAAUGCUUAGUAAGUUCAUAUGCAAAUAAUAAGUAACAUAACAAACAGUUAUACCAAUCAACAUUAGCAUACAUCACUAAAACACAUAUCACAUUUCUGAUCAUUUUUCAUCAUCUUAUUACCUUAUAGUGGUUGUAUCAAUACUCAACCCGAGGGUUAAAUACAUACCUGUCCAAAAUAUCCAUUUCACAUCACUCACCAAUACUUCUCUUUACAUCUCGAAUAUUCCUCCAUUGAGUAGAACUUUACCCAUUGAACACAUCGGAAUAUAAUUCGGAUACAUGGAUAAUUUGCAUAUAAGUGCCACAUAUUCAAUCAAGCAAUCAUGUAACCCGCCCAUAAGCGAACUCGGACUCAACUCAACGAGCUCGGGCGUUCGCAUCCAUAAGUGAACUCGGACUCAACUCAACGAGUUCGGAUGCCUAGUUACAUCUCACGAACUCGGACUCAACUCAACGAGUUCGGACAUUCGCAUCCAUAAGUGAACUCGGACUCAACUCAACGAGUUCGGAUGCUCAACCAUCCUAGUGACAUGUCACUUGUAUCCUAAUCUAUUCCUAAGAUUCAAACGGCCUUUUUCCUCGAACACUUAUCCUUGCCGUCUUCCGUAGAAUGCCGAAAUCAAUACUCGGUAACAAUUAUAUUUAACAAGUAGUUCACAUAAUUUACAUAUUAUUUGAAAUUAACCACAAAGCAUACAUUUCAUAAUAAAAUUUAGCAUAACAUAUAAUUAACAUCAAUAACUUAAAAAUAACCAUUAUGCUACAUUAUUUACACAUGAACUUACCUUGGUACCAAAAUACAAAGAUUUUGCAAUUUAGUCCACAAUCUUUUCUUUUCCUCGAUUGAGGUCGAUUCCACGUCUUUCUUGAUCUAAAAUAACACAUUUAGCUUAUUUAAUACUCAAAUUAUCAAAUUAAUCCUUAACUCAAAUUUUGGCAAAAUUACAAUUUUACCCCUAAACUUUUGCAUAUUUACAUUUUUUCCCCUAGGCUCGGGAUUAAACUUUAUUCCUUACUCUUAUGUUUUACAAUAUGCUGAUCACUUUUCUCUUCUAUGGCAACAUCAAAUUCUCACUCUAACAUGUACUUAUGACUAUUAGGUAUUUUUACCGAUUAAGCCCUUUUACUCGUUUUCACUCAAAAACAAGUAGCACAAGUUGUCUAACAUAAUUUAAAACCCCAUAUUCUAUCAUAAAACAUCAAAAUACACAAAUUUCACCUAUGGGUAUUUUUCCAAAUAUGAACCCUAAGUUGAAUUAUUAUUAGCAUAAGCUUAAUCGAGCUACCGGGAUCUCAAAAACGUAAAAAUCAUUAAAAACGGGGCUUGGAAUCACUUACUAUGGAGCUUGGAAGCUUGAAACAAACCCUAGCUAUGGAGAGCCCUUAAAAUUUCGGCCUAAUGAAGAAGAUGGACAAAAAUUGGCUUUUAAUUUUGUUUUUAAUUCAUUUUAAUAACUAAAUGACCAAAAUACCCUUACUACUAAACUUUCCAAAAAUUCCUUCCAUGUCCUAAUUUUGUCCAUGAACUUAAAAUUGGUCAAAUUUCUAUUUAAGACCUCCUCAUUAAUAUUCCAAAACAAUUUCAUACUAAAAACUUCUAGAAUGCAAGUUUUGCAACUUAUUCGAUUUAGUCCCUACUUUCAAUUUAAGCACUUUAGGCAUAGAAUUUCAUCACGAAAUUUUCACACAAUCAUGCAAUCAUAUCAUAAACCUCAAAAUAAUUAUAAAAUAAUUAUUUCUAUCUCAGAUUUGUGGUCACAAAACCACUAUUCCGAUUAGGCCCUAAUUCGGGAUAUUACAACUCUCCCCCCUUUAAGGAUUUUCGUCCUCGAAAAUCUUACCUGUAAGCAGAUGUGGGUAUUGAUUUCUCAUAGUUUCUUCGGAUUCCCAUGUAGCUUUUUCUACUCCAUGCCUUUGCCACAACACCUUCACAAGUGUAACAUUUUUAUUCCUUAGUUGUUUGACCUCUCGAGCUAAAAUCUUAAUCGGUUCUUCUUCGUAGGUCAUAUCUGGUUGUAGUUCAAUUUCUGUCGGUGAAACUACAUGUGAAGGAUCCGAACGAUACCGACGUAACAUAGAUACGUGGAACACAUCAUGAAUCUUCUCUAGUUCAGGUGGUAAUGCUAGCCGAUAUGCUACCGGUCCAACUUUUUCAAUUACUUCAUACGGCCCAAUAAAACGCAGACUUAAUUUGCCCUUCCGUCCAAAUCUAAGGACUUUCUUCCACGGAGACACCUUUAAAAAUACUUUAUCACCAACUUGAAAUUCAAUGUCCUUUCAUUUUAAAUCUGCAUAAGAUUUCUGUCUAUUUGAAGCAGCUUUCAAACAAUCUCGAAUUACCUUCACUUUUUCUUCAGUUUCUUUUAUUAGAUCAACUCCAUAAAUCUGAUUUUCCUUGAGUUCAGUCCAAUACAAAGGCGUUCGACACUUACGACCAUACAAUGCUUCAUAAGGUGCCAUUUCCAAGCUCGUCUGAUAACUAUUAUUGUAAGCAAAUUCCACCAACGGUAAGUAUCUUUCCCAACUUCCUUGAAAUUCCAAUACACAACAUCUAAGCAUAUCUUCAAGAAUCUGAAUUAUUCUUUCUGAUUGUCCAUCAGUUUGUGGAUGAAAAGCAGUACUGAAAUUUAACUUCGUACCUAACGCGUCUUGCAACUUUUGCCAAAACCGCGAGGUAAACCUUCGAUCUCUAUCUGAAAUAAUCGAUAAUGGUAUUCCGUGUAAUCUAACAAUUUCUCUAAUAUAUAGUUCAGCCAACUUGUUAAGAGAAUAAUCCGUACGUACCGGGAUAAAAUGAGCCGACUUAGUUAAUCUGUCAACUAUUGCCCAGAUGGCAUCUUUCUUUCUUGGAGUCAAUGGCAAUCCUGAAACAAAAUCCAUAGUAAUCCGAUCCCAUUUCCAUUCAGGAACCAUAAUAGGCUGAAGUAAUCCCAAAGGUACUUGGUGUUCAGCUUUCACCUAUUGACAAAUUAAGCAUUUGGACACAAACUCUGAUAUAUCUCUUUUCAUUCCAUUCCACCAAUACAUUUUCUUCAAGUCAUUAUACAUUUUCGUACUACCCGGAUGAAUCGAGAAAUAACCACUAUGUGUUUCCUGUAGGAUCUUUUGAAUCAAUUCCUCAUUCUUCGGUACACAAAUCCGAUCUUUAAACAUUAAGCACCCAUCAGCACCAAUUCUGAAAUCUGAUCCCGUAUCAGCUUCACACUGUUUUCUUUUGGCUAGCAAAUCUUGAUCAUUUUUCUGAGUUUCAGAAAUCUCUUGUAAAAACAUCGAUCUUGCUCUUAACUCUGCUAGAAUCGAACCAUCAUCUGACACUUUCAACCGAGUGUUCAUAACUCUCAAAGCAAACAACAACUUUCUGCUCAAAGCAUCAGCAACCACAUUCGCUUUUCCCGGAUGAUAAUCGAUAACAAGCUCGUAAUCUUUCAAUAACUCCAACCAUCUUCGCUGUCUCAAAUUCAAGUCUUUUUGUGACAUCAAGUACUUAAGACUUUUGUGGUCGGUAUGUACCCGACAUUUUUCACCAUACAAAUAAUUCGCCAAAUUUUCAAAGCAAACACCACUGCAGCCAAUUCCAAAUCGUGAGUAGGAUAAUUCCUCUCAUGAGGUUUUAACUGCCUCGAAGCAUAUGCCACCACUUUUCCUUCCUGCAUGAGCACACACCCCAAACCAUUUAGAGAAGCAUCACUAUACACCACAAAUUCUUUACCUAAUUCGGGUUGUACUAACACUGGUGCCUCUGUUAAUAACUUUUUCAAUUCUUCAAAACUCUGUUGACAUUCUUCCGUCCAUUCAAAUUUAACAUCCUUUCGGAGUAAUCUAGUUAUAGGAGCAGCAAUUAUAGAAAAUCCAUUUACAAACCGCCGAUAAUACCCAGCUAGCCCCAAAAAACUUCUAACUUCAGUUACAUUUUUCGGUGGUUUCCAAUCAACAAUGGCUGAAAUUUUACUAGGAUCAACCCGUAUACCAUCACCUGAAACAAUAUGACCCCAAAAUCCAACUUUCCGGAGCCAAAAUUCACUUUUACUAAACUUAGCAUACAGCUGCUUAUCUCUCAAAGUUUACAAAACUAUCCUCAAAUGCUCAGCAUGCUCUGUCUCAUCUUUUGAAUAAAUUAAAAUAUCAUCUAUAAACACCACAACAAAUCUGUCCAAGUAUGGCCGAAAUAUGCGAUUCAUUAAAUCCAUAAACACAACAGGAGCAUUUGUCAAUCCGAAUGGCAUAACUAAAAAUUCAUAAUGACUAUACCUUGUUCUAAAAGCAGUUUUAGGCACAUCCGACUCUUUUACCCGCAGUUGGUAAUACCCAGAUCUCAAGUCAAUCUUUGAAAACCAUGUCGCUCCUUUUAGCUGAUCAAACAAAUCAUCAAUUCUUGGCAACGGAUACUUGUUUUUGAUUGUCACCUUGUUUAACUGCCGAUAAUCAACACACAACCUCAUAGAACCAUCCUUAUUUUUCACAAAUAACACGGGAGCACCCCAAGGUGAAAAACUCGGUCUCACAAAACCUUUAUUAGUCAACUCUUGCAACUGCGACUUUAAUUCCUUCAACUCUGCUGGUGCCAUUCUAUACGGAGCAAUCAAAAUCGGAGCUGUUCCCGGUAUCAAAUCAAUACCAAAUUCUACUUCCCUAACUAGAGGCAAACCCGGCAAUUCUUCUGGAAAUACGUCCGCAAAUUCACACACAACCGGCACUGAUUCAACUUUCUUUUCAACUUCUUUUGUAUUAAUUACAUACGCCAAAUAAGCUUCAUAACCCUUUCUCAAAUAUCUCUGAGCUGACAUCGAAGAAAUCAUACUAGAUAAUGCCU
rnacentral:lncRNA from 1 species